UUUCUGUAUUGCCCUUACCAUUAAUUACUCAUUCCAAAUCAUUUUUCGAAUUUAUUAAGACUAUACACCAAUUAAUAUGGGUAUCAUGAUAAAUUAUGCACUUUAUUUAUUAUUUCUUAAGGGGCGUGCAAAAUCCAAAGUGAACAAGUACAAGUGAACGGGGGGAGUAAUUAAAAUUCAGCUAUCUUUAUGCGGUGUACAAGUUAGCAGUCAAUUCCAUAAUAGGCAGAGGCGGAACUAGGAUUUCAAACUUAUUGGUCUGGGAUUUUAAUCGCCUUAAGUUAUUGGGUUCUAAAUUAAUAAUUUAUACAUAUUCAAUAAAUGUUUUAAGACAAAUACAGAAUUCGAACUAAAGCUAUUAUGUUCGGCCGAACCCUCCUUCCCCAGCUUGCUCUUGGGGUCACUCGAACUUAUAACCUUUUGGUUGGAAGUGGAGGGUGCUCACAACUGUAGCAACCUACUCUUGUCAAUUUAUUUGUAGUAAAUAGCCAAAUAUAUUUAUAUUUCCUCUGAAAAAACAAAAACAAAAUAUCCAUCUUGCUCCCCUUUUUCCCCUUCUCCAUUUUCCAUCAACAAAUAAAAAUUGACACAAAAGCAUCAAGAAAACUACAUAGUAAACAAGAGGGGGAAAUUCUCAAGAUAUAUAAAGGGAUUGAAGAAAAAUCCAAUCUUUCUUUUGAAAAAAGGAGAUGGCUUUAAUACGCCUUCUCACCCAGGGGAGUCUAUAGAGGAUAGAUAAGCCCAGCUAUACAAAUACAUGAGGCAUCUAGCCUUGAGUCUGUGGGGAGAAGUUGAUACUCCAUCAAAAUACCUGCUGUUUCUCUCAUUCCAAAUGCUCCAAAAAAUAGCUGCAGGACAUUGAAGAAAAAGAUGGUUGUGAGUUUCUGCCUCCCUCUGGUACAUGUAACAUCUAUUCACAAUCUGAAAAUUCCUCUCGGCUAAGUUGUCCUGUGUCAGACAAGCCUCAUAAAGUGCAGUCCAAUUGAAGCAGAUGACUUUGGGUGGCAACUUGAUUUUCCAUAUUAACUUCCAAGAUCAAUGGUUAGUUAUUACAUUAUGAGUUCGUGCUAACUUGCAGGCUGUUUUGACUGAGUACUUUCCUGCAUCUGCAAUACCCUAUUUGAACUGAUCAGGUACUAGAGUGUUGCUUGAAAAAUUGUUGAGUGUGGAAAGAAGUCUGAGCAGAUCCUCAUAUUCCCAGUCUUGCAAGUUCCUUCUAAAUGUUAUAUUCAAUGAGUUUCCUUCUUUGUACUGAUGAAUUGUUGAGUCUGGAUCACUAACCAUCUGAAAGAGAGCAGGGUAGUCAUUCCAUAGGGGUGUGUUGCCUAGCCAUUUGUCCUUCCAGAAUUUUAUUUGUUGUCCAUCUGCAAACUGCAAAGUGCUGGUUUUGUGAGAACUCCUCCCAGAGUUUGUAGAUGCUCUUCCAAACUUCAACUCCUUGUGGUGCUUUAGAUAGCUUGGUGCACCAGUGGCUUUGGGUUCCAUGUUUGGCACUGACAACUUUCUUCCAUAGGCUCUGCUCCUCCCGUGUAUAUCUCCAAAGCCAUUUCAUCAAUAAGCAUUUGUUGUGCAGAGCUAAGUCCCUGACCCCUAAUCCACCUUGGUCCUUUGGUAAGAUAACUUUAGACCACUUUACCAGGUAGAACUUGUGAUCAUCUUUAGUCCCUUCCCAUAGAAAGUUUCUUCUGAUCUUGUCAAGCUGCUUCAGGACCUUACUAGGCAUUGGAAAGAGUUACAUCUGGUAGGUUGGGAUGCUGUCUAGGAACACUACUGAUUAGAGUUAGUCUUCCACCCAUAGACAAAUACUGUAGCUUCCAAGAAAUAAGUUUCUUUUCAAAUUACUCAAUGAUCCCACUCCAUAUAGUUUCUGACUUGAACUUUUCCCCUAGUGGAAGUCCCAGGUAAGUGGUUGAUAAACAUCCAUUAUUGCAGCCUAAAAUUCUAGCCAGGUCUUCUAAAUUAUGCACCUCAUUAACAAGAUAGAUUACACUUUUGAGCAUGUUAAUGUGAAGACCUGAAAUAGCUUCAAAAAUAAGAAGGGUUAGAUUUAGAUAGAGUACUUGACUUCUGUCUGCCCCACAGAAAAUCAAAUUGUCAUCUGCAUAGAGCAUAUGAGAAAUAUUGACUGUGCUUCCUCUCCCAACAUCAAAACCUUUCAACCAUUGCAUCUGCUUAGCUUUAUCCAACAUCUUACCGAGUCCUUCCAUUGCUAAUAUGAAUAAGAAUGGUGAGAGUGGGUCUCCCUGUCUCUAUCCCCUCUGUGGGGAGAAAAAACUAACUUGGUUCCUGUUGAUUAGAAUGGAGUACUUCACAGUAGAGAUAUUGAACUUGAUCCAUUUUAACCAUCUUUCCCCAAAUCCCAUUUGCUUGAGAAUGGAAAUGAGGUAGGACCAGUUAAGUUGAUCAAAGGCUUUUUUCUAUGUCCAUCUUACAUAGAAUCCCUACAUCCCCUUGCGUUAACUGCCAAUCAAGGACAUCGUUUGCUUUCACUGAAGCAUCUGUAAUCUGCCUUCCUUGGAUGAAUGCAUUCUGUUGAUUUGAGACCAAUUUUCCCAUUACUUUCUUCAACCUUUCAGCUAGGACUUUAGCUAUGAUCUUGUACACACUACCAAUUAGACUAAUUGGUCUAUAGUCCCUUAGCUCCAUUGCCCCUUUCUUUUUAGGAAUGAGCGCAUUGAAUUAUGCAUUACAUGACCUAACCAUCCAACAAUGCUGGUGAUAGUAACUCAUAGCUGCAAGUAUGCAGUGUUUAAUGAACUCCCAUUAGUGCCGGUAGAAAGCCAUUGUGUACCUGGAUGCCCUUGGUGCUUUCUCAACAUCGGGUUGGCUUUAUUAAUUCUGCAUUUACGAAUACCUCUAUAAGUUAUGUUAGAAUUUGCGUAUUAUUUAUG